rnacentral:rRNA from 1 species
ACUCAAAUGAAUUGACGGGGGCUCACACAAGCGGUGGAGCAUGUGGCUUAAUUCGAGGCUACGCGAAGAACCUUAUCCUAGGCUUGACAUAUGCGAAAGCGUCUGGUGUAGCCUCCCGAAAGGGAGGUGAACCCCGCAAGGGGGGACCAGAUACAGGUGCUGCAUGGCUGUCGUCAGCUCGUGUCGUGAGAUGUCGGGUUAAGUCCCAUAACGAGCGAAACCCUUACCCUUAGUUGCCACCGGCUUCGGCCGAGCACUCUGGGGGGACUGCCGGUGUCAAACCGGAGGAAGGUGGGGAUGACGUCAAGUCCUCAUGGCCUUUAUGCCUAGGGCUGCACACGUGCUACAAUGGCGUGAACAGAGGGACGCAAAAGCGCGAGCUCAAGCAAAUCCCAAAAAACACGCCCCAGUUCAGAUCGAAGGCUGCAACUCGCCUUCGUGAAGUCGGAAUCGCUAGUAAUCGCAGGUCAGCAACACUGCGGUGAAUGUGUUCCUGAGCCUUGCACACACCGCCCGU